rnacentral:rRNA from 1 species
CCUACGGGAGGCAGCAGUGAGGAAUCUUGGUCAAUGGACGAGAGUCUGAACCAGCCAAGUAGCGUGAAGGAUGACUGCCCUAUGGGUUGUAAACUUCUUUUAUAUGGGAAUAAAAUGUUCCACGUGUGGGGUUUUGUAUGUACCAUAUGAAUAAGGAUCGGCUAACUCCGUGCCAGCAGCCGCGGUAAUACGGAGGAUCCGAGCGUUAUCCGGAUUUAUUGGGUUUAGAGGGUGCGCAGGCGGAAGCUCAAGUCAGCGGUAAAAUUGAGAGGCUCAACCUCAUCGAGCCGUUGAAACUGGUUUGCUUGAGUGAGCGAGAAGUAUGCGGAAUGCGUGGUGUAGCGGUGAAAUGCAUAGAUAUCACGAAGAACUCCGAUUGCGAAGGCAGCAUACCGGCGCUCAACUGACGCUCAUGCACGAAAGUGUGGGUAUCGAACAGGAUUAGAUACCCCAGUAGUC